rnacentral:rRNA from 1 species
CCUACGGGGGGCAGCAGUGGGGAAUAUUGGACAAUGGGCGCAAGCCUGAUCCAGCCAUACCGCGUGGGUGAAGAAGGCCUUCGGGUUGUAAAGCCCUUUUGUUGGGAAAGAAAUCCAGCUGGUUAAUACCCGGUUGGGAUGACGGUACCCAAAGAAUAAGCACCGGCUAACUUCGUGCCAGCAGCCGCGGUAAUACGAAGGGUGCAAGCGUUACUCGGAAUUACUGGGCGUAAAGCGUGCGUAGGUGGUCGUUUAAGUCCGUUGUGAAAGCCCUGGGCUCAACCUGGGAACUGCAGUGGAUACUGGGCGACUAGAGUGUGGUAGAGGGUAGCGGAAUUCCUGGUGUAGCAGUGAAAUGCGUAGAGAUCAGGAGGAACAUCCAUGGCGAAGGCAGCUACCUGGACCAACACUGACACUGAGGCACGAAAGCGUGGGGAGCAAACAGGAUUAGAUACCCGUGUAGUC